rnacentral:lncRNA from 13 species
GAAAGAAACUGUGGGGAAAGAGCAUAUAGGAGCAUAUAAAGACUUCUGAGGUGUUGGAAAUUUUUAUUACUUAAUCUCAGUAUUAUAUACACAAUUAUUUAUCUUAUUACUGACACAAUCAAUUUAUACAUAUUUCCAUAUACAUAAUUACCUUUAUAAAAUAAAAAGAGACACCAAUAGGACAACAAGAUAGCAUCCAACAUGACAUUAUUUACUUGUGAUGAAGUCAGAGCUAAAGCCCAAAUCCAUCAAGUCUGUUUCUCUGCCAGGUGAUAAUAUGGGUGGUGAUAACAAAGUUAAUAUGUGGUUAGCUGGAGACCUCCAAACCCUGAACCAUCCAUCUUUCUCUACAUGGUCCUAAAGGGAAACACAUGCACAGAAAAAUGCCCUGUUGACUGAGAAGGCAAAACUUUAAUGCUUACCAGGUUCUUGAUCUCUAAACAAGUAAGCUAGGCUAGGUGGAGACCUUUCCUAGACUAGAGACAGCCAGGUCUGACAAUCACAGCAAGCGAAAUGGUCUUCUCCAGCCCAGUCUCCCUAACUCUAUCAAAGUUUUGAAUUGUGUGUGAUUCUAAUGAUGACAACAGGUUUUCACCAGAGUUCCCCAGCUAGCAAGAGGAACAAAAAGUCUCUGUCUGUCUAGGCUUAUUUAUAUUCUGCUAAAGUUUUUUUCAUUUCUUAGUACAGGCUGUCCAAUUAGGGUUCUGGCCUUCAACCAAGUAAAAAUGAUACUUAAAACCUUGAGAAUGGAGUAGAAAGUGAGUUGUGAGCCUGUUCUGGCCAAUAGACAGUAUUGUCUGUUUUUAUUUGUAAGCUAUCCUAAGCAGCCAACAAUGAGACCACAGAGGUGGGUGUGCAACUAGCGAUUCACCAGUAGUGUGAAUAUGAGAAGUUUGAUCAAUUAGAGUCUGUGCUAUCUCGUGAAUAAGUCCAAUCAUAACAUUUCUUUGUCUGCUUUCUUUUUAUGUGACUAUAAAAAGAUGUCAACAGUGCAUUUAAAGUUUCCUGCAGAGAGGAAAUAUGCAGAUCACAAUGAAGGGCAAUGCUCAGGAAGCUGUUUUCAAGGAGAUCCAGGGCUAGGAGAAAAAGUCUUCAAAAAAUGUCUACCUAAAACAAAAGACCCUUUCCAGCUUAUGACUAUGAAGAGAGCUGUGACAAUGGAAGACAAGUCAGAGAGAUGCAUUAUUGCUGGCUGUGAAGAUAAUGAGAGACGUGCCUUCCCUCUUUCCAGCAGCCAGCUCGGCCUGUGUUCCUCUGCUGCUUAAGUAUCCCAUGACUCAUACCAAGCCCUUGGUUCAUCCCUCACCUUUCAGAGUGACUGUCUAAAGUUCAUAUCCAGUCCUUGUUACUUUCAUGUUUAAUGGACUUCUGUGGAUUCCUUUAGGCCGUAGAAUAAAGUCUAAGCUGUUUAGAAUGGCA